CUCAACGUCUGCACGCAGCCAAAUUGACAUAAGCCAAAACAUUACUCUGCACUCCACAGGCUUGAACAUGGGGUGACUAUUUUUAUAUCUAUUAUCAACCCCAGGAUCGCAGGUGGUUCCAAACUCUGCACACCAUUCGCUUGAACAUGAGGCCGAGCAUAGGAUAACCCCAUAUGGUAACUGACGCAAAAGGGAUGUCCCUAGCUGUUCAUAAGCCCAACAGAAGAGAGUGCGUGUUCACAUUUUGCCCCAGUGGGAUCACGAAGAUCGCUCCUAUUGCAGCUCAAUUCAACACAAGCGAUUUACUACGGUCAGGUACUCCAGUUCUACCUUUCUCGCGCCUAUCUCUGAAAUGAUUAAUGACUACGUGCAGCACACUGAUAAUGCGUCACAAUGUCCCAGCGAUUGCAGGAAAUCGACCAAAGAAUCACAAGCUAUCAGGAAUGUGCUGUAAACCCCAGGAGAGAAUCCGAAUGCUAAUGGAAACUUCUAUCCCAUACGUAGCUACCGAUCAAGCGGAGAAGGUGGCACGUUCUCACAACACCAUGUGCACUCUCGACGGUUGAUCUCCAGUGGAUUAGUGUGAGAUUAAGGAUUCGGACCCGCAAACUUAUUCGCUACAAAUAUAAC
rnacentral:lncRNA from 1 species